ACUAGCUGACAAGAAACUAUGACAAAAACUUGAAAUAAUACCGAUAAUUGCGAGUGCUUCGGCUACUAUGACAGAUUGAUAAAGAUCCUACGUUAGUUUGUUUUCAAAAUACCCGAUUAUAUUGUAAGGAGGUUUUGGAGCUCAUAAAAUAUGUCUAUUAAAAGAACCAAGGCAGAAUUGGCAAAAACACGAAAGGAGAUACAAGAAGAAGAAUAGACCACAAAACGUCGCACUGAUGACAAACUUUCUUUGAAGACAUUGGAUCGGCACACCUCAGGGACURACAAUGAAUAAUUUCAUCAGUAAAAAAGAUAUUGAGGAAUUGGUGCUCUGGACAGAAACUAUGAAUGAAUCUACAGAGACAUACACAACCAUGGCUAGGAUUGAUGCAACCACUGGGAGUGAUGGAACUACUGAGACUGAUGCAACCACUGGGACUGAUGCAACCACUGGAACUGAUGCAACUAUUAGAACUGUUGCAACUACUAGGUCUGAUACAGUGAUGRAAACACCUGACAAAAUAUAAGCAACACCUGGUUCCAGUAUGGAAUUUAUGCAACUSCCAACUCUGAUGAGUGUACCACCCUUUAUGCCAACAACACCACACCAUUGGUCUACAGACAUCUUGGAACAGCUUAAAAACGUAGAGGCCAAAUUGACCACGAUACUAGCGAACCAACAAACAGUAAUGUGUGAACUAACUGGACUGAAAACCUUACUGUCCACUGACAUACUAACAAAGCAAAACACUAAGACACCUACAUCACUGCCAACUUUGAUGGAGCUAAUUAACAUU